CUGAGGUGCACUAUUAACAGCCUGGAGUGGUUUUGCAUAAAAUUGUAAGGACAAUGCAGCAGGUCUAAAAGGUCAGAAUUCUGUACUCAGCAAAGAAGCCCACCCUCUGGUCAACAUUAUGGCAAGAUUUUAGAUUAAAAGAGGUUUUCCCCAAUAUCCUUUGAAUGGUGGUCAUCCUAACCUUCCCUUCCAUACAGGUUGCCUUUUUUAUAAAUGGAAAACAAGGUGAUUCCAUUCUAUUUUUUUGUAAUUUUCUCCAGAAAGCUUCAAAAAUGCAUCAAUUCUAUUAAAAGCUCUGCUUCUGAAAACAGCUGGAGAAAGUUGAAUUCUCAAGGACAGAAAUCUUGUAUCCUGCUACAUUUCUGAAAUUGGUUAUUAAUUCUAACAGCAUUUCAGUGAAAUUCUUUGGGUCUUCUAUCCACACUGACCUCUGCAACCUCCCUGGAAGAGCAGGCCUAGCUCCUUCAGUUUCCGCAAAUGAUGCCCCAUGUCAUCUUCCAACAGACAGCUGUAACCAAGGGGAACAUGUUGCUGCUUCUCUCAUGGAACAUGGCAUGCUUAUUGUCAAAGGCUGCAAGGAAACACAUGCCAAAGGAAAGUUGUAUCCUCGAAGGGAAUUAUUUAUGAAAUGUUCCCCUUACAGUACAUAUUAUUGCUUUUGAUGUAGUUCUGACAUUUGAAAUGCAAUUAAAAAUUCAAUUUCUCUGUGAGAUCUUUCCUGAGUACCCUAGGUAAAAUUUCAGUUUCACACUAAUAUUUCACAUCUCCCUUGUCUGCUUUAUUUUUCUCCUUAGCAUUUAUUACAAUCUAAUAUGCUAUAUAUUUUACUUAUUUAUGUUUGUGUACCAAGCAGAAAAAUAAAUUCCUUGAAGAUGGAGAAUCUUGUCUCACUCAUUCACUGCUGUGUCCCCUGGCUCCUAGAACAAUGCCCAGAAUAUAGUAGGCACUAAAAAAAAUGUAUUUUUCAGGAAUGGAUUGCAUAGGAGAAUUGCUUAGCACAGUGUCUAGUAUGUGCCAAGUACCCAGAAAGUAGUAGCUCUCAAUGCUGUGA
rnacentral:lncRNA from 1 species